UACAGAGGGUGCAAGCGUUAAUCGGAAUUACUGGGCGUAAAGCGUGCGUAGUCGGCUUUUAAGUCGGGUGUGAAAUCCCCGGGCUCAACCUGGGAAUUGCAUUCGAUACUGGAUAGCUAGAGUUCGGCAGAGGGAAGUGGAAUUUCUGGUGUAGCGGUGAAAUGCGUAGAUAUCAGAAGGAACAUCAGUGGCGAAAGCGACUUCCUGGACCAGAACUGACGAUCAGGCACGAAAGCGUGGGGAGCAAACAGG
rnacentral:rRNA from 1 species